AACGAACGCUGGCGGCAGGCUUAACACAUGCAAGUCGAACGCCCCGCAAGGGGAGUGGCAGACGGGUGAGUAACGCGUGGGAAUCUACCUAGUUCUACGGAACAACAGUUGGAAACGACUGCUAAUACCGUAUACGCCCUAUGGGGGAAAGAUUUAUCGGAAUUAGAUGAGCCCGCGUUGGAUUAGCUAGUUGGUGAGGUAAUGGCUCACCAAGGCGACGAUCCAUAGCUGGUCUGGGAGGAUGAUCAGCCACACUGGGACUGAGACACGGCCCAGGCUCCUACGGGAGGCAGCAGUGGGGAAUAUUGGACAAUGGGCGCAAGCCUGAUCCAGCCAUGCCGCGUGAGUGAUGAAGGCCUUAGGGUUGUAAAGCUCUUUCACCGAUGAAGAUAAUGACGGUAGUCGGAGAAGAAGCCCCGGCUAACUUCGUGCCAGCAGCCGCGGUAACAC
rnacentral:rRNA from 1 species